GGACCCACUUUUUAUAACCAAUAAUAUUUUCUCUAAUUUAACGGAUAUGUCUGUUCACUUGUCAGAACGUCAUCAGUCAAAUCUAUUCCACUAUAAAUGCACUAAUAAAUUAAACUCUGUUCCGUGUUUUAGCUACAGCCUUGACUUUCACGCUGCUGCUUCCUCAACUCCAUUCCAUUCGAGUUCAUGAAAUUUAAACUCCAUUUCGUGUUUUCGCUACUUUCGUCUGCUGCAAUCCCGCGGCCCGCCAGCGCGACACAACAAGGGAUCAACCUGCCGGUUCUAAGACUAUUUGUGCUUCCUUUUGCCUUUCUCAGAUAUGCACACUAGCGCGGAGGGAUAGACGAACGAUCUGCAUCUAUCACCAAGCCCAGGAGUACAGCCCCAAGCUUUCCCCCGCCAGCAAUCAGCAUGCACGCUUCACCUUCGACUCAUUUACAAACUGUCAGCUUCUCAAGCAGGAACCUGGCCCUCAUGAUCCACUGUUACCCUGGGCCAGCUAGUCCUGGGAUGUGUUACAUUGCAGGGAUUAACGGAAUUUGUCACCAUACAGCCUGAUGUUCAUUCACGGCACGACUUCUGCUCAGCGAGUAUACAAGCAACCUCUGGCUGCAUGCUGAUGCCUCGAUCUCAAUGCAAAAGCUUCUUCUGUCCUCAACAACAACUCAUUUUAGAGCUUAACAGCGAGUGAAGAAGAAAACAGAAGAGCUUGAUAUGAAACACAAAGAGGAGCCCAUGAGCGUGCCAGUGUAACAGAUUCACCCAUGGCCCUGCGGCGGUGGCCGAUGCCUAGUAAACACCGACUUGACAUCAUGGUGACUUAAAAUCUACCUAUGCUACAGAUGAAACCUGUCUGGAGCCACCGUCAUUUAUUUCUUGGAAGGAGCUAUUGCAGUGCUCGCUGCAGAGUUGCCAUGGAGAUCUGCCUCCAUGUUUCACAAGAAAGAAUCUCCCACACUCGGUGUGCAACUAGGUGACCAUAAUGGUUAGCUGAGCCCUAAACGCAUCUCUGUAUCUCUAUCAACUUCAGCAAGGUCAGAACUGUAAGGAGGCAGAGAGGCUGGCUGAGGUGAGUGAAGUAGGUCUGCAGGAGCCUGUGACUGCUUUGUUGUAAAGAUCAAACAGUCCUGAGAUGGAGAAGCUCCAGCGAGCAUGGUUUUACCUCAGUGUGACAUACUUUCGAGGUUGUCAACGCAGCAGAAAUUAUAGCCAUACAAAGGACCAUGCAUCUGAAUGCGUGCACAGUGAUGGGUUGUGUUGUGACAGUGCAUUUUUAUCGUUCACCAUGAGACAGAUGUCUGGGAUUUGUCCUGCCCUGAGAUAAUCCGCCCUCUUCAAUGAGAACAUGAGCCAGGAGUCAGACCUUGCCUGUGGAUGUGUGAGACAAGCCUGACGAGAGAGAGAGAGAGAGAGAGAGAGAGAGAGAGAGAGAGAGAGAGAGAGAGAGAGAGAGAGAGAGAGGUGUGCAAAAGGUCAACCCGCCCAGCCUGCUGUCCAUAACUGCAUGUGUAUAAUCCCAUAUGGCUCAUCACAAUAAGCCGGCAAGUAUUACUCUUACUCUCAAAGCCUCUUGUGCCCUUCUUUAGUGUAAAUGUGGACAGACAUUCUGUGUUUGUUGUCAUUAGGGUUGAAAAUUUUGUAGAAUUUAACUGGGUCCAAUUCCGAGGCCGGCUAAUGAUUCAGAGUCCUUGAAGAUUCCAUUAGCGAUGCUUUUAGUACUUUUGAGGGAGCUCACUAAUCUAAACUAAACUAAAAUAAUAAACAAAACAAUAUUGUUUUAAUGCUUAUUUUUAUGCACACCACAAUUUAGUGCAACAAAACCGUGAACAUGUACGUCAGGAGUCUUCAACUACUCUUCUUCGAGGGCCAGAUUUUAAAAAUGUAAAUAUGAUGCAGGCCAAACUUUUACUCCUAUUUUAACCUUUAUAUAUUUUUUACUUUUACCUAUUUUUAUUAUUAUUAU